UAGGGAAUAUUCCGCAAUGGGCGAAAGCCUGACGGAGCGACGCCGCGUGAAUGAAGAAAUCUUUCGGGAUGUAAAGUUCAAUCGGCCGGGGAAGAAUGGUUUUCAUAGGAACAUUAUGAGAGCAGGGACGGUACCCGGAAUGAAGCCACGGCUAAUUACGUGCCAGCAGCCGCGGUAAUACGUAAGUGGCAAGCGUUAUCCGGAAUCACUGGGUGUAAAGGGUGUGUAGGCGGUAAUUUAAGUUUUGCGUUUAAUUUCGGGGCUCAACCCCGAAUGUGCGUGAAAUACUGAAUUGCUAGAGUGACGGAGAGGAAGUUGGAACUCCAGGUGAAGCGGUGAAAUGUGUAGAUAUCUGGGGGAACACCAAUGGCGAAGGCAGGCUUCUGGCCGUCAACUGACGCUGAGACACGAAAGCGUGGGGAGCAAACAGG
rnacentral:rRNA from 1 species